rnacentral:rRNA from 1 species
UAUGAACGCUGGCGGCAGGCCUAACACAUGCAAGUCGAACGGAUCCUUCGGGAUUAGUGGCGGACGGGUGAGUAACGCAUGGGAACAUACCCUUUGGUACGGAAUAGCCUCGGGAAACUGGGAGUAAUACCGUAUGUGGUCGAGAGACGAAAGAUUUAUCGCCAAAGGAUUGGCCCGCGUUGGAUUAGGUAGUUGGUGGGGUAAUGGCCUACCAAGCCGACGAUCCAUAGCUGGUUUGAGAGGAUGAUCAGCCACACUGGGACUGAGACACGGCCCAGACUCCUACGGGAGGCAGCAGUGGGGAAUCUUAGACAAUGGGGGAAACCCUGAUCUAGCCAUGCCGCGUGAUCGAUGAAGGCCUUAGGGUUGUAAAGAUCUUUCAGGUGGGAAGAUAAUGACUGUACCACCAGAAGAAGCCCCAGCUAACUCCGUGCCAGCAGCCGCGGUAA